rnacentral:misc_RNA from 1 species
UUGUCGUUUGAAAUCCCAUUUUGCUCAUCACACAAAUUGGUACUCUCCUCAUCAUUGCUUUUCGCUGUCAAAAUAUCAAUAGCAGCAUUGAUAUUGUCCUUGUAAUUGGAAGGUGAAUCGAGCGCAAGAGAGCCUAAUGUGGUGGAGGUGAGCGCCACCACAUGAUAGCCAUCGCCUCUUUUCUGCGACGGAUGAACCACAUGCAUUGAGUAGCUCCGAGGCAUCGGAGAAUAGGGUGCGUGGCAGUGCCGGCAG